rnacentral:lncRNA from 1 species
GCACACAGUAGGGCUUCACAGAUGCUUCUGCGGGUGAAAAGGAGGCGCUUCGCGUCUCUAGCAUCCGCUUCGCCCUGAGCGUCCACAUCUGACAGUCAUUUCGGCAGCUCGAAUUCGUCUUUGUGGGCGACAAGAGUGCUCCUUCCUCCCUGUUGGCCCCGCGCCGAAGCAACAUGGCCCCCCUCGGCUCUCUUCUUCCGGACAGGCCUGUCCAAAGGGUGGCUUCCACCGCUGCCAGCGCCGCCCUCCCCCUUUAAUCUCAUGCGCUCCGGCCUCCCCCUGUGCCCUUCUAGCAGGGAGGCUCUCCCGGGUCUCCCGUGGCCCCCGGCCAGCAGGCCUGGCCUUUGUGGCGUCCUCUCUCUUAACGGGUUCUUUCCAAAGCCUUUGGAGCCCACCGGAUCCCUGGCCCUGGCCCGCGCGUGCCUCUGCUCCCAUCUCCGGCCUGCCCUCGGUCUCCUGGGGGGCUCCCCUUCCCUGCCUCUGGGCCUCCGCCGCUUGCGUCACCCCCUCGAGGAGGGCGACGACUCCCAAGCCUCCCCCUCCGGCCUGCCUCUUCUCCCUGGAUCUAGUCCCGCGCCAGCCCCUCUCCUGGCGGCCUCCCCCUCCGGCCUGCCUCUUCUCCCUAGAUCUAGUCCCGCGCCAGGGUCUCCCCCUCGAGGAGGGCGACGACUCCCGCCUGCCUCUUCUCCCUAGAUCUAGUCCCGCGCCAGCCCCUCUCCUGGCGGCCUCCCCCUCCCGCCUGCCUCUUCUCCCUAGAUCUAGUCCCGCGCCAGCCCCUCUCCUGGCGGUCUCGCUCUGUCACGGCCCAGACCCUUGCGAGCGCCCUGGGCUCCAGCUAAGUCGACCCCGUGCUGCUCCCUGGCCUCUCUCCCUCCACUGAUGCCCUUAGAGGCAGCCAGAAGGCUGGGUCUGGAGUUCAAAUUCAGCCUCAAAACUGGAGUAGCUGUGCGACCCUGGACAAGGCUCUUAGCUCUGCCUCAGUUUCCUCCCCUGUAAAAUGGGGACGAGAACAACAGCACCCAGAUUGGCAUGAGGAUGAAGUGAGAUAGCGUCUGCCAAGCGUCCCAUCCCUCGGGAACCUCUCUCUGGG